GAUGAAGAACGCAGCGAAUUGCGAUACGUAAUGUGAAUUGCAGAAUUCAGUGAAUCAUCGAAUCUUUGAACGCACAUUGCGCCCUUUGGUAUUCCUUAGGGCAUGCCUGUUCGAGCGUCAUUUAAACCUUCAAGCUAAGCUUGGUGUUGGGUGACUGUCCGCUUCACGGCGGACUCGCCUCAAAAUUAUUGGCGGCCGGUACAUUGGCUUCGAGCGCAGCAGAAACGCGAACUCGGGCCCGUCGUAUUGGCUCCCAGAAGCUAUCUUCACAAUUUUGACCUCGGAUCAGGUAGGGAUACCCGCUGAACUUAAGCAUAUCAAUAAGCGGAGGA
rnacentral:misc_RNA from 1 species